rnacentral:rRNA from 1 species
UACGAAGGGGGCGAGCGUUGUUCGGAUUUACUGGGCGUAAAGGGCGCGCAGGCGGCGCAUUUUGUCAGGCGUGAAAGCCCCGGGCUUAACCUGGGAACUGCGUUUGAUACGGAUGGGCUAGAGUUCGGGAGAGGAGAGUGGAAUUCCCAGUGUAGAGGUGAAAUUCGUAGAUAUCAGGAAGAACACCCGUGGCCGAAGGCGGCUACUCUGGAA